AAACCUUUCUAUAUCUCUUCAGCCGUUUGUGUUUUCCGGUCUGUGCACUGAUUUUUUAAUUUCACAUCAGUAGCUGUCUGAAUUGCAGCUUAGAAAUUAUAUUAUGUGAUGGAAUCAGAAAAUCUCUAUAAAUAAUUAGCCACUUCUAAUGAAAUCUUUAUCGAAAUUUAUCUAUGGUGCUGUUUUUUUUUUUCAUCAUAUAAACCUGGAAAGUUUUCAUUUUGUAAUGGCUUUCUCGUCUCUCAAAGUAAAUUGAAUUGCUUUUCUCAUCUCUUAUUCUUCAGGCAGGCUAAGAAGUUCAUGAAAAGUAUAGAGUCAAAAUGAGAAGUGAAGCCAAGAGAGUGGAUUUAGUUUGCAGGGGUAGCAUCUAAAGCGGCUGUAGUUGUUUUAGAGAAUAAUAAGGAGCUCGACAAACCCUUUUCUCCCAUAUUUCAGCUAGCUGAGGAGAAGAAUCCUCUGAAGGAAAACUGCUUAUUGGGAACUUAAAAUUUAAGAAAUAAUUAGCAUUCGUUUUCUGGAUUACAUAUCUUUCAUUGUCAUCAUAUUGAUGAGUUUAAUUUGUCUUUCAAGGCUUUAAUUGCUUUGUUUGCAAAGCCAAAUGCUAAAUCUUUGUCAUCAGUCGUCACCAAUUAAUGAUGGCUUGCAGACACACGCUUGGAUUUUUCUUUUCUGGUAGAUGAUUCAUUAGUUACCGAAAACGACGGUAUAACAUAAAUGCUGAUGCAUAAUUUUUAAACAAUAAAAGAAGGGGAUUGAAAUUGACACUCCAUUUUUUUACAAACCACACCCUCCAUGAGUAAUUUUUCAGAAGUCAAGAGUUUUUUAUUUUUAUUUUUUGGAGGGUAGUUUAUUGAAAUAGUCCAUCUUGGAUGGCACCCUAAGCUAACCCAUGGGUGCUGAUCAAUGAAUUGCUGAAACACCUCCAGAAGUCCCUAGUUGUUUUGGUCGAACAGUAGUUUCCUUUCUGAUUUUGGACAAUAAGUCUCAUAUAUCACAGUACUCUUGUUUUGAGCUCUUCAUAUUGUAGAGGACUUGCGGGACACUCUGGAGUGUGCCAUGUUGCCAACAACUAGGUAUUAUGGUUAUCACUUUCUAACUUUGAUCAUUUGCAGAACUGCAAGAACAAGUAUCAAAGCUUCUUUUCCAGGCAGCAGACUUCAGAUAGAAAGAAAGAAGACGACAUCUUGCUUCUGCGGAUGGUAUUGCCCAUGGUUUUGAUCUGAUGGGAGACAAAGAUGUCAAUGACAGUUUUGAUCUGGAUUCUGCCGACACAGAGGAAAAGAGAGGAGACGAAGAUGAAAUAUCAGCCUCUGGAAAUUCACCUAGCCCACGAAGCUACUUCGUAUAUGUAAUUUUGCUGACGGAGUCUUCAACAGCAGUGGUAACUCAUUUCAUAUAAGAAUAGUUUGGAGACAAUGUCUAUUGGAAGCAUGUCUCCACUUUUUUUGUGUGCAGCUACUUCGUAUAUAUAAUUUUGCUGACGGAGUCUUCAACAGCAGUGGUAACUCAUUUCAUAUAAGAAUAUUUUGGAGACAAUGUCUAUUGGAAGCAUGUUGUGCACCACACCAAAGCAUGUAAGGUUGUACUGCAUGGACAUGCUGAGUUUGAGGCAAGUGAUGUUAUCUUAAAGGUUAUUUUUUGGAACAUGGAAACAGACUGAAAGCACAGUGGAAGAUCACAUGAUGAUCGUUACUGAUGUUCGAUUUAGAACAAAUCUCCUGAACAGAAUAUGGACAAGUAUGAUGGUAGAGUUUGUAUGAGUUCCGAGUCGAUGAGUAGAAUAGAGGCAAUGUUUGAAGCUGAACUUGAGAGGUUGGGGCUAAACAGGAGUACUUCUACUUUGGAGAGAAGAUUAACUGAUCUUGAUGAGCUUCCAAACAGUGUUCAUCAAGUUUCUGAAGAUUACAUUUGGGAAAGCUCUAUACUUUACAGACCAAUGUUUACAUCAGAGGAAGUGGAGGUUCUCAGUCUAAACCAAUUCUUGCUGGCUAUUCGUCAUGCACACCCUCGGUCAGAAACCAUGUUGCUUCUUCACCAUCAAAGUUUUGAUUUCUCUCUCAGUUUUGGCAGCCAUAACAUCAGCAACUAGAACUUACCCGGUGCCUCCAAAUGGUCACAGAACACGAGGCCUAGGCGCUUUAGAGAUGAGUGCACCAGUUGUGAACAACAGACUGCUGCUGUUAGAUUUGCAGCACCAGAUCAAGGUGGAAGUGGCUUCUCAGGAUCAUCCUCAUGUUCUAUCAAAGCGUCCUAAAAUCCCACCUUCUGGCCCAAGCCACAGGACCAACAAGACACCUAAUUCCUCAAGACAUUACUAUACACUUUUGUUAUUUGUAUAUAGAGAACAGCUUUGGUUAGAGUAUCAUACAUGAAAUGCAGGAGAGCUUUGGUUAGACAUCCUCAUGUUUAGGGUUGUCGUAUUGGGUUUGUCAUCAACAAGGAGAAGGAAGGCGAUUCUGGGUUUUGGCUCAACCUUGAGGUGGAGGUGCGUUGGGAAAAGCAGGAGAGCUGCAGCUUCUGGUAUUUGAGUUAUGGCUUCAAACAUCCGAUUCCAGAGUCAUUGUUCAUGCAUGUAGACAUAGAUUGCUUCUACGUUCAAGGUUUCACCUGCUACUAUCAUUGUUGCUGCAAUUGAUUUAUCUGUUGUAAAAAAUUGGUCUGCAAGGUCUGAAGAAAAUGAGAAGCUUCAAUCUGUCAAUCAAGGCAAAUGGAAGAGAAUACAUGUUAGGCAACUUUUGAUGGUGCAAUGGAUUAUUUGAUCAAAGUAUGGAAAAUUGGGGUAUAGCAGGAAGGAAUAUAUAUCCAAGCAACUAUUUGAGUCAUAAUAAGGUUGGAGAAGGCAGUUUCAGAUGUCUUUAAGGUGACUGUUUUGAGCAGCAGAUGAACUACAACCAAAAAGAUGAAGUGGUCUGUGAGUGAGAUGCUUGGUUUCUCGAUUUGUUUUCUUCUGCACUCCCCUGGCCCGCAAUUCCAAGACCUUCACUUACGAUUUCGAUCCGCCCUCUGCUGCGUUGCGACUUUGAUUCCCGGAGUUUUGAGCGAUAGCCACUUCAUCUUUUUUAUGGGUUUGGUUGAUUCGGAGGCGAAUUUGUGGGAUGUAAUUGGGUCUGGAGGGCUAGGGUUUCGAAGAUUUCAGGAAGAUCUUUGUGGUAUAUAUGGAUCAAAUUGCUUCCAAUGGAUUAUUGCAAUUGAGUACUGGAAAGAAUGUGGCUAUCAUGAAGCAUCAUGAAAUUAUGAGCCUCAUGAAGCAGCCAAAUUAGUUGCAGAAGGAGACAGACCAAUUUUUCAUGUAAAAGGACACACCUCUGAAGUGAAAGAACAAAUGAUGAAAUGAAAGUGAGAAUUGGAAGCUAAACUUGGCUGUGAGAUGAGCAAAAUUGAAGGCCUUACUGGCAAGUCUUCCAAGCUAUUAACAUAUUGCCGACCAAAUUUGAAUUGCUCAGCGUGAUUUCUUCACGUCGCACAAAAGAAAAAGGGAUUGUGUUUUAAAUCUUUUAGAGCAUGGCAACCCAUGGCUUAUGUAAAAAGGAACUAUUAAUAUGUGAAAGGUUUCCAGUAACCAUUUAUAUUUGUUCCAAGAGUGAUUGUCAAUAAGAAUUUACAAUAUCCUUAAUCCCA